CUCCAUGUAUCUUUGGGACCUGUCAACCGUGGCAGUCUCCCUUCCUAGCCAUGGAAGAGCAUAUUCUUGUUUAUUGGCAAAGCUGUCACCAUUUAAUUGGUAUCAGAUUCUGACUUGCACAAGUAACAUUC
ensembl:snoRNA